rnacentral:rRNA from 1 species
CAGUACCCGUAGGAGAAGAAAAUAAUAAUGAUUCUGCUAGUAGUGGCGAACGAACGUGGAUGAGGCUAAACCGUGUGCAUGUGAUACCUGGUAGGGGUUGUGUGUGCGGUGUUGUGGGCCCUGAUGAGGAUGGCUACUGACGUCCUGCCCGCGCAUUGUUGUUAGGUGAAGUGGUGUGGAAACGCCUGCCGUAGAAGGUGAUAGUCCUGUAGCUGAAGAUGAUGGUGUGUGGGUUGUUGGGUUGCCCGAGUAGCAGCGGGCUCGUGGAAUCUGCUGUGAAUCUGCCGGGACCACCCGGUAAGCCUAAAUACUCAGUGUGACCGAUAGUGGAUAGUACCGUGAGGGAAUGGUGAAAAGUACCCCGGGAGGGGAGUGAAAUAGUUCCUGAAACCAUGUGCUUACAAUCCGUCAGAGCACCAUAUGUUGUGUGAUGGCGUGCCUUUUGAAGAAUGAGCCUGCGAGUCAGCGGCAUGUCGCGAGGUUAACCCGUGUGGGGUAGCCGUAGGGAAACCGAAUCCUAAUGGGGUGUUUAGUGGCAUGUCCUGGACCCGAAGCGGGGUGAUCUACCCAUGGCCAGUGUGAAGCAGCAGUAAGGUGCUGUGGAGGCGCGAACCCACGUAGGUUGAAAACUGCGGGGAUGAGCUGUGGGUAGGGGUGAAAGGCCAAUCAAACUCCGUGAUAGCUGGUUCUCCCCGAAAUGCAUUUAGGUGCAGCGUCGCAUUAGCUUGGUGGAGGUAGAGCUACUGGUUGGUUGAGCGGGACUACAAUCUUAGCAAUGUCAGCCAAACUCCGAAUGCCAUUAAUGUGUUGUGCGGCAGUGAGACUGUGGGGGAUAAGCUUCAUAGUCGAGAGGGAAACAGCCCAGAUCGCCGGUUAAGGCCCCUAAGGGUGUGCUAAGUGGAAAAGGAUGUGGGAUCGCGAAGACAGCCAGGAGGUUGGCUUAGAAGCAGCCAUCCUUGAAAGAGUGCGUAAUAGCUCACUGGUCGAGUGGUUCUGCGCCGACAAUGUAGUGGGGCUCAAGCACACCGCCGAAGCCGCGGCAAUAAUAUUUUGUUAUUGGGUAGGGGAGCGUCGUGCACGUGUUGAAGCGUUACCGUGAGGAGGCGUGGAGUGUGUGCGAGUGAGAAUGCAGGCAUGAGUAACGAAUUGGAAGGUGAGAAUCCUUCCCGCCGGAUGACUAAGGGUUCCUGGGUCAAGUUCGUCUUCCCAGGGUGAGUCGGGACCUAAGGCGAGGCCGACAGGCGUAGUCGAUGGAUAACCAGUUGAUAUUCUGGUACCCGAGUAUAUGCGCCCCUGAUAAAGCACUGAUACUAACCACCGUAAGCUGUUGUGAUUGACCCUUUGGGGUUAACAUGGUGGCAAGCCGUGGGGCCUGAUGUGUGGUUCAAGCGAUGGGGUGACACAGUGGGGUAGCCAUGCCGCUUAGUGGAUUGUUGGUGUAAGCGUGUAGGUGAUGGUGUAGGUAAAUCCGCACUUGUUAUGCUGAGACGUGAUGCGUAGCCUUAAUUGGUGAAGUUGGUGAUCCCGUGCUGUCGAGAAAAGCCUCUAGCGAUGUAUAUACUCGGCCCGUACCCCAAACCGACACAGGUAGUCAGGUUGAAAAUACUAAGGCGUUCGGGUGAACUGUGGUUAAGGAACUCGGCAAAAUGCCCCCGUAACUUCGGGAGAAGGGGGACCCUAUGGCGUGAACACCCAUUUGCGGUGGGAAGCGUUGUGGGGUCGCAGAGAAUAGAGGGAAGCGACUGUUUAUCAAAAACACAGGUCCAUGCGAAGACGUUAAGUUGAUGUAUAUGGACUGACGCCUGCCCGGUGCUGGAAGGUUAAGAGGACCGGUUAAUCAAGCUUUGCUUGGUGAAGCUGAGAAUUUAAGCCCCAGUAAACGGCGGUGGUAACUAUAACCAUCCUAAGGUAGCGAAAUUCCUUGUCGGGUAAGUUCCGACCUGC